CCUACGGGAGGCAGCAGUGGGGAAUAUUGGACAAUGGGCGCAAGCCUGAUCCAGCCAUACCGCGUGGGUGAAGAAGGCCUUCGGGUUGUAAAGCCCUUUUGUUGGGAAAGAAAUCCAGCCGGCUAAUACCUGGUUGGGAUGACGGUACCCAAAGAAUAAGCACCGGCUAACUUCGUGCCAGCAGCCGCGGUAAUACGAAGGGUGCAAGCGUUACUCGGAAUUACUGGGCGUAAAGCGUGCGUAGGUGGUUAUUUAAGUCCGUUGUGAAAGCCCUGGGCUCAACCUGGGAACUGCAGUGGAUACUGGAUGACUAGAAUGUGGUAGAGGGUAGCGGAAUUCCUGGUGUAGCAGUGAAAUGCGUAGAGAUCAGGAGGAACAUCCAUGGCGAAGGCAGCUACCUGGACCAACAUUGACACUGAGGCACGAAAGCGUGGGGAGCAAACAGGAUUAGAUACCCUGGUAGUCCACGCCCUAAACGAUGCGAACUGGAUGUUGGGUGCAAUUUGGCACGCAGUAUCGAAGCUAACGCGUUAAGUUCGCCGCCUGGGGAGUACGGUGCAAGCUUGAAACUUCGAAAGGAAUUGA
rnacentral:rRNA from 1 species